GAUGAACGCUGGCGGCGUGCCUAAUACAUGCAAGUCGAGCGAACGGACGAGAAGCUUGCUUCUCUGAUGUUAGCGGCGGACGGGUGAGUAACACGUGGAUAACCUACCUAUAAGACUGGGAUAACUUCGGGAAACCGGAGCUAAUACCGGAUGAUAUUUUGAACCGCAUGGGUCAAAAGUGAAAGACGGUCUUGCUGUCACUUAUCGAUGGAUCCGCGCUGCAUUAGCUAGUUGGUAAGGUCACGGCUUACCAAGGCAACGAUGCAUAGCCGACCUGAGAGGGUGAUCGGCCACACUGGAACUGAGACACGGUCCAGACUCCUACGGGAGGCAGCAGUAGGGAAUCGGCCGCAACGGGCGAAAGCCUGACGGAGCAACGCCGCGUGAGUGACGAAGGUCUUCGGAUCGUAAAACUCUGUUAUUAGGGAAGAACAUAUGUGUAAGUAACUGUGCACAUAGUGACGGUACCUAAUCAGAAAGCAACGGCUAACUACGUG
rnacentral:rRNA from 1 species